UACGUAGGGGCAAGCGUUGUCCGGAAUUACUGGGCGUAAAGAGCUCGUAGGUGGUUUGUCGCGUUGUUCGUGAAAACCGGGGGCUUAACCCUCGGCGUGCGGGCGAUACGGGCAGACUUGAGUACUGCAGGGGAGACUGGAAUUCCUGGUGUAGCGGUGGAAUGCGCAGAUAUCAGGAGGAACACCGGUGGCGAAGGCGGGUCUCUGGGCAGUAACUGACGCUGAGGAGCGAAAGCGUGGGGAGCAAACAGG
rnacentral:rRNA from 1 species